rnacentral:rRNA from 1 species
GAGUUUGAUCGUGGCUCAGGAUGAACGCUAGCUACAGGCUUAACACAUGCAAGUCGCGGGGCAGCAUGUAUCUGGCUUGCCAGAUACGAUGGCGACCGGCGCACGGGUGAGUAACGCGUAUCCAACCUGCCCAUAACCACGGCACAGCCCGUCGAAAGGCGGAUUAAUGCCGUAUGAGGUUCCAGAGUAGCAUUAUUAUGGAACGAAAGGAUUGGCGGUUAUGGAUGGGGAUGCGUCCGAUUAGCUUGUUGGCGGGUAACGGCCCACCAAGGCGACGAUCGGUAGGGGUUCUGAGAGGAAGGUCCCCCAACUGGAACUGAGACACGGUCCAGACUCCUACGGGAGCAGCAGUGAGGAAUAUUGGUCAAUGGGCGCAAGCCUGAACCAGCCAAGUAGCGUGCAGGACGACGGCCCUAU